rnacentral:rRNA from 1 species
CGGCACGGGUGAGUAACACGUAUCCAACCUGCCGUCUACUCUUGGACAGCCUUCUGAAAGGAAGAUUAAUACAAGAUGGCAUCAUGAGUUCACAUGUUCACAUGAUUAAAGGUAUUCCGGUAGACGAUGGGGAUGCGUUCCAUUAGGUAGUAGGCGGGGUAACGGCCCACCUAGUCUUUGAUGGAUAGGGGUUCUGAGAGGAAGGUCCCCCACAUUGGAACUGAGACACGGUCCAA